rnacentral:rRNA from 1 species
AACGAACGCUGGCGGCGUGCCUAACACAUGCAAGUCGAACGAGAAAGGGGCUUCGGCUCCGAGUAAAGUGGCGCACGGGUGAGUAACACGUGGGUAACCUGCCUCUAAGAUUGGGAUAACUCGUCGAAAGAUGAGCUAAUACCGGAUAAGACCACAGUUCCCGCGGGAACAGGGGUCCAAGGUAGCCUCUGCUUGCACGCUAUCACUUAGAGAUGGGCCCGCGCUCCAUUAGCAAGUUGGUAGGGUAACGGCCUACCAAGGCAAAGAUGGUUAGCUGGUCUGAGAGGAUGAUCAGCCACACUGGAACUGAGACACGGUCCAGACUCCUACGGGAGGCAGCAGUGGGGAAUAUUGCGCAAUGGGCGAAAGCUUGACGCAGCAACGCCGCGUGAGUGAUGAAGGCCUUCGGGUCGUAAAGCUCUGUCGGGAGGAACGAAUGCUCCCAAGGUUAACAGCCUCGGGAGGUGACGGUACCUUCAAAGGAAGCACCGGCUAACUCUGUGCCAGCCGCCGCGGUAACAC